UCAACAAAAGAGAUAGCUUUUGCCAAUUUAACUAAUAAUAAAGGCAUUGGCUUUACCACUGGAAGCACAGUGUCUCUAACAAAGGCAGAAUUGCUAUCUGCUUAGUCUCAUGCAAAAGAAAGAAAAAGAUGAUCAAAUUAUUCGUUCAGUGAAAAGAAAAGAAAGCUUAAGGAUUUUGACUGGAAAUUCUUUUGGGUUCAAGAUUCGAUGGAAGGAAGUCCCAUCAAUUGUUCGAGGUGACAAGUUGGUAUUCACGAAUUUGUUCAAGAACACAGGUGACGGUGAGGAUCGUGUUGGCUAGAGGAUCCGAGUGACAUAUUCUUAGUGAGCCCCACAAUUGUUCACGUGGGCUAUAAUUUAUUUAUUCGUUAUGGUUCUUUUUCUUGAAAACUCUUAGUUUGCUCUAUAGUCAUGUCUGUAGAGUUUUGAAUCUUUAGUUAUUUUGGAUUUGUAGAAUAUUGAAAUUUCCUCUCAUGUUCUGGAGAUGGAUUUUAUGUUGUUAGUUGGUGGUAUUGGAGAAGUGUUGAUAAUCUCUGGUGUUGGUGGUUGUGCUGUUGGGUUGUUUUGUUGUUGAAUUGCGACAGAAAAUUUUCUUGUUAGGCCUAAAAACAGUGGAAAUUUUGCCU